AACGAACGCUGGCGGCAUGCCUAACACAUGCAAGUCGAACGAGACCUUCGGGUCUAGUGGCGCACGGGUGCGUAACGCGUGGGAACCUGCCCUUAGGUUCGGAUCACUUCCCUUAAGGGGAACUUAAACCGGCUGAUGCUCUUAGCGCAAAGGAUUUCUCGCUAUUGGUUGGGGCCGGGUUGGUUUCGGUGGUUGGUAGGGGAAAAGCCAACCAAGGGGCCGAUCCUUGGCUGGUCGGGGAGGAUGAUCAUCACCAAUGGGCAUGAGCCCCGGCCCAGACUCCUACGGGAGGCAGCAGUGGGGAGUAUUGGACGCUGAGCGAAAGCCUAAUCCAGCAAUGCCGCGUGAGUGAUGAAGGCCUUAGGGUUGUAAAGCUCUUUUACCCGGGAUGAGAAUGACAGUACCGGGAGAAUAAGCUCCGGCUAACUCCGUG
rnacentral:rRNA from 1 species